CAGAAGGGUCCAUCUCUUCCUGACUGGAUCACACAGGACAAGCAGCAUCAUCAUCAACAUCACCCGCCAUCCUCUGUCACAAGGACAAGCUCUCCAUCCAGAGGCGCACAGGGAGCGAGGACAAUCUUCUCCUGUUUUUUUUUCUAGAACAAGAACCAUAAUAACAAAGCAGCAAGAUGUUGGCCUGCACGGAGCUGAUCACCAUGUGUCUCCAGUCCGCCAAGCACGAACACUUGAGAAAGCAGCAAGAGCUCGACCACAAUCAGAACCAAGGCAUCGCUUUAUUCCAAGACAUUUUUCGUCGAGCGGACAAAAAUGACGAUGGGAAGCUGUCCAUGGAGGAAUUCCAGUCCUACUUCACUGAUGGUAUCCUUACUGAAGAGCAGAUGCAGGAGCUGUAUUACUCCAUCGACAGGCAGCAGACAGACAACCUGGACAUCGACAAGCUCUCAGCGUACUUCACUCCUCAUCUGGGGGAAUAUGUCAACGUCUUGUCUGCACUGGAAAAGCUGAACGUGGCGAUUUUAAAGGCCAUGGAUAAAACUAAAGAGGAGUAUCAGGGCUCAUCAGUGCUUGGUCAGUUUGUCACUCGGUUCCUGCUGAGGGAAACUUCCUCACAGCUUCAGUCCCUGCAGUCUUCCCUGGACUGUGCCACAGAAGCUGUCCAUGACAACGGCUGCACAGGGAGGAGGAUAGUGAAGAAACCCGAGGACCUUCCCAUUCAGAGGGUCACUAAACGACCCAACCGACGUAUCCAGAAGAACAUGUGUCUCUCUCCUACAGACCCCUACUCCGGCAUGCUCACCACAGGGGUCAGCGUAGAGCCAGACAACCACUGGGGCUACCAGAUCAACCAGCUGGAACAACUCAUGGAUAAACUGGAUUGUGAGAGUCCACGUCUUGAACCUCUUAAGGAAGACACUUUGGCUGGAACAUAUAAAUCGAACAUUCUCCUGGUUCAAAGGCAGAUGUCUGUGAAGGAGCGAGACAUGGAGCACUUUCAGCAGACUCUCAAAAUCUACACAGAUGCCACCAGCAGCCAGCUCGACAACCUACACAUUUCAGUCCAAAACUUGCCAGACAGAUCGUGCUUCAUCAUGUAUGAGUUUUGGCAGGACCGUCUCUCCUGGAUGAGCUACCUGCAGUCAUCCAUCAGCAAGACCUUUCAGCGCUGCAUCAUUGACUCGCUGGAAGAGCCAGAAAUAGUCUCCACUAUGCUCCUCCCAGGUCUUUUGCUCCGAAGGUCUGGGUCAUUUUGGGAGGUGUGAAUGUGCAACCGAACUUUGGGGCAGAUAGAAGAAGAAACCUCUGGUCCACCUAAAACACUGUUCUUGCUUCCUGGUGGAUCAUGAACAACAACUGAAUAAACAAGACAUCUGCAGAAGGAAGAAACCACUUCUGCAUCCUUUUGGUUUGAUACUUGCUUUUUUCUUCUGGCAUGACUGAGAUUGUUUUGUAACAUUUUACUUCAGUUAAAAAAGGACCGCUGACAAAAAUUUGCAACACAAUGAGACAAACAACAAUCUCAGAUUGUUUAAGUAGCCAAUCAAGAGCCUAAAGCUUAUUUCUCAAUUUACUGGCACACUUCAAACUACUUACAUUUUUGAAACACAAGAGAGAUGAUUAAAAUAGGUUAUGCAUGAUUCAUUCUGUUUUAAAUAAAAAAUGAAAUCGUAUCAGUUCAUCCACUGCAUUUUCCUCCACACUGAUAGAAAAAGAAAAAAAAAAUUGCCGCUUUGGUUUACUUUGUCCUCUUGUUCUCCCUGUGCUGUUGUGCUUUGUUGUCUCCUUCAAAGCUUUGCUACCAGGCAUCAUGUCUGCAGACAGAACCAUCUCAUAGAACGCAGCCACUGAAUAAUUAUUGUCCAUGUCACUCCUGCACUUUAAAAUAUAUAUAUAUGGAACAUGAACAUUAUUGUGAAGAAUGCGAUUUUUUAUUUUGAUUGUCUUUUGCAAAAUGCAAAAUUAACCUGCUGUUAUGAAAAGCUAAGAGAUGCUAGCGGAGAACAAGUCACCAGAUAAUCAUACAGUUUGAGUCUACUGUUCCUCUAAAUGUAAAUAAGUAAAAAGCCAUUACUUGACAUAUGUGGUGUGUAAUCAACAGAGCUUAGGAAUAAAAAAUGAAAAAACGUUUUAUUUUAAAAAUAAUGCUGGACCUGUUUUGUGUCAUAUAAUGGAAAGAACCCCAGUUAAGAUAGUGUACAGUAGAUAAUAAAAGCUGUAGGACUGAUGUAACUGUUGUAUAAGUCUGGUAAAUGUACAGUGAAUUAGUAUGUAAAAUUUUGGAUUUAAAAUGGGGAAUAAACAUGUCCACUCAUUUACUUGACGUGUUUAUCACUUCUUUAGUGUUUUAUAUGCUGUUAUAUGGAUUCUGUUUUGGUUGUUUUUUAUUUUCUGGCAUGAAUUAAAGUUUGACUGAAAAAGAGGA